AUAACGUUUAAUAACUGUUUAGAAGUUUUUCACACAAUUACAGCUAAUUUUAGAAUGUAAACAUAAACAUUCAAACCUCAAUCCUGUUAAGCCAGAAACCAUUUCAUAUGCAACUACAUAGAAAUCAAGAGAACCUUGCACAAAAGCAAACAUUUAUGUUUUGUCUGGAUGAGCAAAUGUUUGUCAGUUUUAAAUUACAUGCUAAGGUUUGCAAAAUACUUGUUCUUUGAUAUGACCGCCCAAAGAAUAUAUGAAUACAUUCAGAAUAUACAGGAAUAUAGAAAUAUCUAUGCAUGAAUUCCCUUUUUUAGCCAGUCAUAAUAGGAAACGUAACAAGCAGUGAGGAGACAAGAGAAUCAACUUCUCCCUUACAGUGGAUGCCAAUCCUAUAAAUAGUUCAGUAAAUGCUAAAUUCUAACUUUUGUGAGAUAGGAAUUUAUAAUUGUGUUUGUGAAUAGAAAUAAUUAUGUUUGUGAAGCUACACGUUUCCUGAAGCAUUUUCCUUUGGUCAUAAAUCAUGCAUAAAAAUGUGUUCAUGUCUUAGCCUUCCUGUUUUCCUGCAAAAUAUGGCCCUAUUCCUCCCCAGAAAACAUCUCCUAGCUUACCUCAGUGGGAGGGUGGGGAUGAUUGGGAAGGUCUUUUUGAAGAGGAAAAGGAAACAUUUACCUACAAAACUAGCUAGAGAUACUUAAUGCUCAGUGAAAACAGUGAGGAUUUUUAUGUAAAUCUAAGCAUCUUAUCACCUUCAGUCCAUGUCAGUGGGCAACAUUUUUUUUGUUGUUGCAAUAUGGUGAGGAGUGGAAGGACAAGGAGUGGAACACACAUAAUUCACAGCACCUUUGUUGGCUCUGCGAUGAUGUUAUUUUGACACUGGUGUGGGGAAUUAUUUUCACAGAGCUAAGUGUGUUUUGAUGAUCAUUUAUUUUAAUUAUAAUUCUUCAAGUUAAUAAUAAUAAUAAAAGAGAAAGACUUUUCAUUUCAACAAUUUUAUGGUUCAGAAAUAGAAAGACUACACACCAUCACAAUCAGUCUCUGGAACCCUAACAGGCUGAAUUUCCAUUGUCUUCUUUGGUGGCUAGGUCUCAACAGCACUAUUCCUGAACUUGGUGCAAAAUAAAUUCCUGUGGGACAAUCCAGAUAACUACAAAUUCGAGAACAAGAAAACUCACUUAGAAAAGUUACAAAUGAGGAUGCUGGAAAAACAGCAACUAUAAAACAGUUUGAAAGAUUGGCAAAGCAUUGUGACUAUUCUACAGAGAAAAAUUGGUGUUUCAAACUAUUUGAAGAUGGAAAUUAAUGAAGAGUUGUCUGUUGCAAUAUUUAAAUUAAAAAAUACACAGUAUACAAUUUUAUGGACUGUAUUACAAAACCUUUGAAAAUUAAAGUAAGUCCCCAAUGCACAAUGAAAAAGACUCCAUAGUAUAAGCUAACUGGCUUUCAGAUGUGGUGUAGCAUCAUAACCAACCAUGAUACAAAAGUCAAAGACUGAAGUGUAAUCCUCAACAUGGAGAAAAGUCAAGGAUAGAAAGAUUUGUAUAAGGUAUUUAUUGUAGAUGAAGAAAAGAAAGCAAGCACCAAAGGGAAGCAGGACGACUCAUGAUGAAAUCCAUAAACAUUUUUGCUGGGUGCUGGAGUCACUGUAACUCUUGGAUGGAAUGGCACCGCGGUCCUAUGUGAAACUCGGUGCUGGUAAAGCAAUGUUCUGUGAGCUGACAUGGAAUGACCCAAAGUAUACAUCUGUUGGUCUGGGAUAAGUAUCCAGCCAUUCAGAGAGUCUGACAAUACUUCUGCAGAUUGUUGCACAAGUAGAUCCAAUAAAAAGACAAAAGUGUGCAUGAGAAAUACUGCAUAUAAUAAAAUACUCUGUUGCAGCCACAUGUAUUAAGAUUAGGCCUUCACUUGGAAUAUUGUUUUCUGAUUGUCCUACCUGAACACAAUGUAACAAAAUAAGAUAGGAGUCUGAAAAGCAUAGAAAUACAGAGAGAAUCAGACAGAAAAAAAAGAGUAAAAAAAAUGCCUAGCUGGGAAACGAUAAGUCUUUAACACAGAAAAUGAAUGGAAAAGUGAAAUCAUUUCUAUUUACUCAUUUCUAUAAUGGAAACAAAUAAAUACAUUCAAUGAAACUGGAAAGAAAAAAAUUAUAGUAAACAUAAGUAGCUGAUGACAGAUGCUCAGCGUGAAUUUUGGGGAAGACUGGACAUUUAUAAGGAUCACCACAAAGCAUUUUGGGUGGGAUUAACAACACAAGCAUUUUGGAAAAGAUGUAGGGUCUUAAUGAUCAAACAUGUACCCUGAUCGUUAAUUACAGGAGGUUUAAAACAUAAAGCUUCCUCUUCAGUGUUAUUCCAUAUUCACCCACUAUGGGAGUUCUUGCAUUUUCCUUUGAAAUGACAGAGCCAGGAUGGCAGCUGAAAUGCUGGUCUGAUGCAGCCUAAAGCUUCCAAAGCUAUCAAAAAUGUUGUGUUCACGCAUACAGAUUGAGACAUUAGGUCCACAUUUUUCGGAGGAAACUUGUUUUCAAUCCCCUGAAAUACAAGAAACAAACAAAACAAAACCAUCAGACAAUGAAGGUUAAGUUACCAAGCAAUACUUCAUUCACUUGAUUACGAGAAGUACUAUUACAAGACCUGGAAAGCAGCACUUUAUAUAUUUUUUUCAAAUUUAAAAUAACAACAAUGGAAGCCAAAAAAUAACUAUUUAUAAGGAAAGCAAUAAUAAAAAUAACUGCACAGUCUGCUCCAUGCAUUGACUUUCUUCACCCUCUGUAAGGGAAGGGUUGCUAUUUAUGGAAUGCUCCAAGUCUGCCUUUCAGGACGCAGCCCAGCUUGGCUGGACAGCUUUCAGUUGCUACUACAAAUAUGUCACUUAUUAGGAACAGAGGGGAUGUUUAUCACUAUCUCAAGGGUUACUUUGGCUGAGGCAAAGAAAUAGCUCAGUUAUAUAAUGGAAAGAGCUGGGUCAAAGGAUGAGGCAUUUAUAUAGCGUGUACUCAAGACUCAGGAGUGCAGACUCAGUUUCUCUCUUCUGUGUCCUUCACAGGCAGUGGUACCACAGCUAUACAGGUCUCCCCAGGCUCUCUCAAAGCUAGGGGGGCUGAAGUUACUAUUAAAGAACACUGCUCAAGCUCUUCAGCUGAGGGAAAAGAUGCAUUUUUCCCAUUGCUCCUCUUGCCCUGCCAGUAGUACCUAGUGAGACUCUUUGUUGUUACCCCACCCAUCAUAUAGCUAUAGCUCAAAC
rnacentral:lncRNA from 1 species